UUCCCUUAGUAACUGCGAGUGAAGUGGGAUGAGCUCAAAUUUAAAAUCUGGUAGUCUUUGGCUGCCCGAGUUGUAAUCUAGAGAAGUGUUUUCUGUGCUGGACUGUGUUUAAGUUUCCUGGAUAUGGAACAUCAUAGAGGGUGAGAAUCCCGUCCUUAACACAGACGCCCCAGUGCUCUGUGAUGCACUCUCGACGAGUCGAGUUGUUUGGGAUUGCAGCUCAAAAUGGGAGGUAAAUUCCUUCUAAAGCUAAAUAUUGGCGAGAGACCGAUAGCGAACAAGUACCGUGAGGGAAAGAUGAAAAGCACUUUGGAAAGAGAGUUAAACAGUACGUGAAAUUGUUAAAAGGGAAACAAUUGAAGUCAGUUGCAUCUACUUGGACUCAGCCUUACUUCGGUUUGGUGCAUUUCCUUGUGGAUGGGCCAGUGUUCAUGUUGAUUCCUGGAAAAGGGGCUAGGGAAUGUGGCUCUUUUGGGAGUGUUAUAGCCCUGGCUCAUAUACAGUAAUUAAUAUGGAGUGGUACAGCAUGCUUCGGUGGUGCUUGUGCUGGCAUAAUGGCUUUAAAUGACCCGUCUUGAAACACGGACCAAGGAGUCUAACAUGUCUGCAAGUAUUUGGGUGAUAAACUCAAAUGCGUAAUGAAAGUGAUAGCUGGGAACCCUGCAAAGGGGGCACCAGUGCCCCGAGCGGAUCUUCUGUGAUGCAUCGGAGGUAGAGCAUAUAUGUUGGGACCCGAAAGAUGGUGAACUAUGCCUGAAUAGGGUGAAGCCAGAGGAAACUCUGGUGGAGGCUCGUAGCGAUUCUGACGUGCAAAUCGAUCGUCAAAUUUGGGUAUAGGGGCGAAAGACUAAUCGAACCAU
rnacentral:rRNA from 1 species